CAAGUUAUUAAUUGCCACCAUUAGCCGCAGCAGCCUGCCCGAGAUCUCUGCUGCUCUCUGGAGAGCCUGCUAAAUAGACUGAAGAGGCCAUCGGGUUCACCCUCCAUACUGCGACUGCCAGGACCGUGCAGACCAAACCGCCUGCUGCCUUUGCCAAGGGCCUGCUGGUGGAGGCGAGGAUAAAGUGGGGCUGUUGUCCCCUCUCUGUGGAUGAAGACACUGGUGGUUGGGGAGAUGAAGUGGACUGUGAGCUCCAUGAAGCUGAGGAUCAUGCCUGCCUUGGGCACACGGCUACACCAAGCACAUUUG